rnacentral:rRNA from 2 species
UGGAGCAACGCCGCGUGAGUGAAGAAGGCUUUCGGGUCGUAAAACUCUGUUGUUGGAGAAGAAUGGUCGGCAGAGUAACUGUUGUCGGCGUGACGGUAUCCAACCAGAAAGCCACGGCUAACUACGUGCCAGCAGCCGCGGUAAUACGUAGGUGGCAAGCGUUAUCCGGAUUUAUUGGGCGUAAAGCGAGCGCAGGCGGUUUUUUAAGUCUGAUGUGAAAGCCCUCGGCUUAACCGAGGAAGUGCAUCGGAAACUGGGAAACUUGAGUGCAGAAGUGGACAGUGGAACUCCAUGUGUAGCGGUGAAAUGCGUAGAUAUAUGGAAGAACACCAGUGGCGAAGGCGGCUGUCUGGUCUGUAACUGACGCUGAGGCUCGAAAGCAUGGGUAGCGAACAGGAUUAGAUACCCUGGUAGUCCAUGCCGUAAACGAUGAAUGCUAGGUGUUGGAGGGUUUCCGCCCUUCAGUGCUGCAGCUAACGCAUUAAGCAUUCCGCCUGGGGAGUACGACCGCAAGGUUGAAACUCAAAGGAAUUGACGGGGGCCCGCACAAGCGGUGGAGCAUGUGGUUUAAUUCGAAGCAACGCGAAGAACCUUACCAGGUCUUGACAUCUUUUGAUCACCUGAGAGAUCAGGUUUCCCCUUCGGG